rnacentral:rRNA from 1 species
CAGUAGCCACGGUAAUACGGAGGGUGCAAGCGUUAAUCGGAAUUACUGGGCGUAAAGCGCACGCAGGCGGUCUGACAAGUCAGAUGUGAAAUCCCCGGGCUUAACCUGGGAACUGCAUUUGAAACUGUCAGGCUGGAGUCUUGUAGAGGGGGGUAGAAUUCCAGGUGUAGCGGUGAAAUGCGUAGAGAUCUGGAGGAAUACCGGUGGCGAAGGCGGCCCCCUGGACAAAGACUGACGCUCAGGUGCGAAAGCGUGGGGAGCAAACAGGAUUAGAUACCCGCGUAGUCCCUGUCUCUUAUAA